rnacentral:rRNA from 1 species
AGAGUUUGAUCCUGGCUCAGGAUGAACGCUGGCGGCGUGCCUAAUACAUGCAAGUCGAGCGAACAGACGAGGAGCUUGCUCCUUUGACGUUAGCGGCGGACGGGUGAGUAACACGUGGGUAACCUACCUAUAAGACUGGGAUAACUUCGGGAAACCGGAGCUAAUACCGGAUAAUAUUUCGAACCGCAUGGUUCGAUAGUGAAAGAUGGCUCUGCUAUCACUUAUAGAUGGACCUGCGCCGUAUUAGCUAGUUGGUAAGGUAACGGCUUACCAAGGCAACGAUACGUAGCCGACCUGAGAGGGUGAUCGGCCACACUGGAACUGAGACACGGUCCAGACUCCUACGGGAGGCAGCAGUAGGGAAUCUUCCGCAAUGGGCGAAAGCCUGACGGAGCAACGCCGCGUGAGUGAUGAAGGUCUUCGGAUCGUAAAACUCUGUUAUUAGGGAAGAACAAACGUGUAAGUAACUGUGCACGUCUUGACGGUACCUAAUCAGAAAGCCACGGCAAACUACGUGCCAGCAGCCGCGGUAAUACGUAGGUGGCAAGCGUUAUCCGGAAUUAUUGGGCGUAAAGCGCGCGUAGGCGGUUUUUUAAGUCUGAUGUGAAAGCCCACGGCUCAACCGUGGAGGGUCAUUGGAAACUGGAAAACUUGAGUGCAGAAGAGGAAAGUGGAAUUCCAUGUGUAGCGGUGAAAUGCGCAGAGAUAUGGAGGAACACCAGUGGCGAAGGCGGCUCUCUGGUCUGUUACUGACGCUGAGGUGCGAAAGCGUGGGGAUCAAACAGGAUUAGAUACCCUGGUAGUCC